GACGAACGAGGGUGGCGUGCUUAACACAUGCAAGUCGAACGGAAAGGCCCUGCUUUUGUGGGGUGCUCGAGUGGCGAACGGGUGAGUAACACGUGAGUAACCUGCCCUUGACUUUGGGAUAACUUCAGGAAACUGGGGCUAAUGCCGGAUAGGAGCUCCUGCUGGAUGGUGGGGGUUGGAAAGGUUCGGCGGUUGGGGAUGGACUCGCGGCUUAUCAGCUUGUUGGUGGGGUAGUGGCUUACCAAGGCUUUGACGGGUAGCCGGCCUGAGAGGGUGACCGGCCACAUUGGGACUGAGAUACGGCCCAGACUCCUACGGGAGGCAGCAGUGCGGAAUAUUGCACAAUGGGCGGAAGCCUGAUGCAGCAACGCCGCGUGCGGGAUGACGGCCUUCGGGUUGUAAACCGCUUUCGCCUGUGACGAAGCGUGAGUGACGGUAAUGUGUAAAGAAGCACCGGCUAACUACGUG
rnacentral:rRNA from 1 species